GACGAACGCUGGCGGCGUGCCUAAUACAUGCAAGUUGAGCGAUGAAGAUUGGUGCUUGCACCAAUUUGGAGAGCAGCGAACGGGUGAGUAACGCGUGGGGAAUCUGCCUUUGAGCGGGGGACAACAUUUGGAAACGAAUGCUAAUACCGCAUAACAACUUUAAACAUAAGUUUUAAGUUUGAAAGAUGCAAUUGCAUCACUCAAAGAUGAUCCCGCGUUGUAUUAGCUAGUUGGUGAGGUAAAGGCUCACCAAGGCGAGGAUACAUAGCCGACCUGAGAGGGGGAUCGGCCACAUUGGGACUGAGACACGGCCCAAACUCCUACGGGAGGCAGCAGUAGGGAAUCUUCGGCAAUGGACGAAAGUCUGACCGAGCAACGCCGCGUGAGUGAAGAAGGUUUUCGGAUCGUAAAACUCUGUUGGUAGAGAAGAACGUUGGUGAGAGUGGAAAGCUCAUCAAGUGACGGUAACUACCCAGAAAGGGACGGCUAACUACGUG
rnacentral:rRNA from 1 species